rnacentral:lncRNA from 1 species
AUAUUCUUAAGAAAUGCAAAACAUUGGAAAGGCAUGAAAAAAAUGAGGAGUUGUAAGCACAGUAAAAAGUUUGGAAAACUUCAAUGGAGCAUUGCUUAUGUUAGAGAAAAGAGAAAAUCUUAAACAAGUGCGAUAAAGAAACGACAGGAAAGAUUUCCAGAUGGGAAGAAUAUGCACUUGCUCUGUAUUAUCUCAAUCCUGGCCUUGUCUAAGAAGACAGUCCUGGAAAAAAAAAAAGAAGAAGACAGUCCUGUGUUUUCCCUGGCCCAAAGUUCCAUGAGAACAGUCUCUCCUUUCAUCAUUGUACAUACAACUUCUAUUGAACUAAUUGUAAUAUAAUGGUUACUGUUGAAUUGGCUGAAUUCAUGAAUUAAAGAUAAGUACAAUUAAAUGUAGAUCUUCUUCCUUUUCUGAUCAAAGGCAAUAAAUCUUAUGGACAGUGUGGAAAAAUUAUUUGU